rnacentral:rRNA from 1 species
UGAGGAAUAUUGGACAAUGGGUGAGAGCCUGAUCCAACCAUCCCGCGUGAAGGAUGACGGUCCUAUGGAUUGUAAACUUCUUUUGUACAGGGAUAAACCUAGAUACGUGUAUCUAGCUGAAGGUACUGUACAAAUAAGCACCGGCUAACUCCGUGCCAGCAGCCGCGGUAAUACGGAGGGUGCAAGCGUUGUCCGGAUUUAUUGGGUUUAAAGGGUGCGUAGGCGGCUUUUUAAGUCAGUGGUGAAAGCCCGCAGCUUAACUGUGGAAUUGCCAUUGAAACUGGAGAGCUUGAGUACGGUUGAAGUAGGCGGAAUUUAUGGUGUAGCGGUGAAAUGCAUAGAUACCAUAAAGAACACCGAUAGCGUAGGCAGCUUACUAAGCCGUAACUGACGCUGAGGCACGAAAGCAUGGGGAGCGAACAGGAUUAGAUACCCUGGUAGUCCAUGCCGUAAACGAUGAUCACUCGCUGUUAGCGAUAUACUGUUAGUGGCCAAGCGAAAGCGUUAAGUGAUCCACCUGGGGAGUACGUCCGCAAGGAUG